GUGAUAUUUGCAUCUAUCUACUUAUUUAGGGUUAAAUAUGUUUUUAGUCCCUAUACUUUGGGGCGAUUUUGGUUUUAGUCCCUCUUUCAAACUAAGGUAUAAUUUAGUCUUUUAACUUUAGAAAACUCUGGUUUUAGUCUUUUUUACCAAAUUUUUUUAACUUUAUUUGUUGUUUCAAAUGCGUUUCUUAGAUAACAUUGAAGCAAAAAUGUGUCAAACAAUGUAAACAAUCCAAAUGCUAUAAUGAAACGUGCUUGAAACAGCAAAUAAAGUUAAAAAAAAUUGAUAAAAAGGACUAAAACUAGAGUUUUCUAAAGUUGAAGGACUAAAUUGUACCUUAGUUUGAAAGAGGGACUUAAACCAAAAUCGUCCCAAAAUAUAGGGACUAAAAACAUAUUUAACCCACUUAUUUAUUAAGAAUUGACAUCUUUAGUUGAUGUGGGAUCUGAUAACUGAUGAAACGAUAUGUCCAACAACAAAUAAUAAAUAUCUUUAUGAUAUGUUUUGACAAUAUUUCUAAUAGUAUAUUAGAAGUGAACUUUAAAUCUAAUUCAAUCUCACAAAAUUAACCUGUAAUAUUGUAAUAUGAAAUUUGUAUCCAUUUAUAUAUUAUAAAUUGAUUUUAGGUUAAAACCAUUUAAGCGUCCCUAUUUUCGUUCGGUCUUCCCACUUUGGUCCCCUUCUUUUAAACUUUCCCAAUUAAGUCCUCAAAACUGCUAAUUUAAAACAAUUCAAUCCCUGCCGUUAAAAAUCAUUAACGGCCAUUUAAAUUUGAUGACGUGGCAUUAGAAAUGAAUUUUAUAUUAAAAAUUAUUAAUAAAUAUAGAUUCUAGAAGGGCAAAGUGGGAACUUUCUUCUUCCUCCUCCACAGAACCCCGAGUUCAUCUUCUUUCCAAAUAAGAUCACUCAACAGUACUAACAAACAUUAAAAUACCAGAUCCCAAAAACAAAAACGAAGAGCCCUUCUCAUUGCGCCGGUCAAGAACUUCGACAACAUUUCCAUGUAAAAUAACGAUUCACUCUACCAUGCAAAGCAUCAACAAUUUUUUACUUUAACAUAAAAACUCAGAUUACUGCAUCACUUACAAAAUUUAUAAACAUAGGCGUGCAGAAACCAUGCCAACAAAAUUCGAAGGUAAAGAUCCAAUUUUGAAAGACCCCACAGUCUGACUCGAUUGAUGAUACAAAAGGAAUAACAAGAAAAGCAACAACGCUGCAACAGAGGGUUCCCCUCCAACGAUGAAUAUCUACAAAAGAACAAACAAAAAUCACAAGAAUCAGCUAUGAAAUUAUGCUGCUACAAAAUCGGCUUCUGAUUAUAAUAUUCAGCGAUACAAAUUAGAAAUUAAAUGCAUGUGAAAAAGAAAUAAGAGACAUGUGAAUGCUGGUGAGAAAACCAUCACAGGUAAUACCUCUUCUCUAGAUCACAAACCUACCCAGAUCCCAAAAACAAAAAGGAUCGAAUUUCCCUUAUCCAUGUACCCUCUGUUAUACAAUAAUACAACCUAAAUGGAGGAGGAAGAAGAAAGUUCCCACUUCUACGAACCGAAAUGGAGGAAGGGCCUGACGUCGGGCGAUCGGUGGCUAUGGCGGCUCGCGAUGUCACCGGCAACACCAUUGAUUGACGGCGGUCUGUGGCAGAGAAGUCGAGUGGUGAGAUGGUAGCCUUGGAUUCUACCGGCGGAGAUGAGGGGCUGCUAGUGUCAUCGAGAGAGACCCUUUGUGUUCUUCUGCGUUGAGUAAAAUGAGGUGAGGAUGUGGAAACCCUAAAGGGGUUUCUUAGUUUCUGGGAACCACUGGACCAAACCCAAAAGCAAGAAGAAAGUUUUCUUUUUC
rnacentral:lncRNA from 1 species